CUACAAUGGUUGGUACAACGAGUUGCGAGUCGGUGACGGCGAGCUAAUCUCUUAAAGCCAAUCUCAGUUCGGAUUGUAGGCUGCAACUCGCCUACAUGAAGUCGGAAUCGCUAGUAAUCGCGGAUCAGCACGCCGCGGUGAAUACGUUCCCGGGCCUU
rnacentral:rRNA from 1 species